CACUAGAUGACUUCAGUAAGAAACGCGCAGAGAAUGGGACAUUCUCCAUUCACGAGGUGUCUGAUUUAUUAUCUUCACGUAUUAAUGAUAUUGACACGAAUAAUAAUUCCAGUAAAAAAAAUAUGGACACGUUUGGGUGGUUUUUUUUAAUGGACACGUUUGGGCGUUUAUACAAAUGAGAAGCUUUGGCGCUGUUUUACAACUAGACAUGUUUUGCAGUUCAGUGACGUCGAUGUAGACACGUUUGGGGGAAUCGGACACGUUUGAGGGGGAGGACACGUUUCUGAGUGUUACAGAUAU
rnacentral:lncRNA from 1 species